rnacentral:rRNA from 1 species
UACGUAGGGUGCAAGCGUUGUCCGGAAUUAUUGGGCGUAAAGAGCUCGUAGGCGGUUUGUUGCGUCGUCCGUGAAAACCCGUGGCUCAACUGCGGGCUUGCGGACGAUACGGGCAGGCUGGAGUUCGGUAGGGGAGACUGGAAUUCCUGGUGUAGCGGUGAAAUGCGCAGAUAUCAGGAGGAACACCGGUGGCGAAGGCGGGUCUCUGGGCCGAAACUGACGCUGAGGAGCGAAAGCGUGGGGAGCAAACAGG